GAGCAGCGAACGGGUGAGUAACGCGUGGGGAAUCUGCCUUUGAGCGGGGGACAACAUUUGGAAACGAAUGCUAAUACCGCAUAAAAACUUUAAACACAAGUUUUAAGUUUGAAAGAUGCAAUUGCAUCACUCAAAGAUGAUCCCGCGUUGUAUUAGCUAGUUGGUGAGGUAAAGGCUCACCAAGGCGAUGAUACAUAGCCGACCUGAGAGGGUGAUCGGCCACAUUGGGACUGAGACACGGCCCAAACUCCUACGGGAGGCAGCAGUAGGGAAUCUUCGGCAAUGGACGAAAGUCUGACCGAGCAACGCCGCGUGAGUGAAGAAGGUUUUCGGAUCGUAAAACUCUGUUGGUAGAGAAGAACGUUGGUGAGAGUGGAAAGCUCAUCAAGUGACGGUAACUACCCAGAAAGGGACGGCUAACUACGUGCCAGCAGCCGCGGUAAUACGUAGGUCCCGAGCGUUGUCCGGAUUUAUUGGGCGUAAAGCGAGCGCAGGUGGUUUAUUAAGUCUGGUGUAAAAGGCAGUGGCUCAACCAUUGUAUGCAUUGGAAACUGGUAGACUUGAGUGCAGGAGAGGAGAGUGGAAUUCCAUGUGUAGCGGUGAAAUGCGUAGAUAUAUGGAGGA
rnacentral:rRNA from 1 species